AGAGUUUGAUCCUGGCUCAGGAUGAACGCUAGCGACAGGCCUAACACAUGCAAGUCGAGGGGCAGCACUGAGAAAGCUUGCUUUUUCUGGUGGCGACCGGCGCACGGGUGCGUAACAGGUGUGCAAUCUGUCCAUAAUCGGGGAAUAGCCCACUGAAAGGUGGAUUAAUGCUCCAUGUGAGUUUAGAAGGCAUCUUCUUUACUUGAAACGUAAGGAUUAUGGGUGAGCACGCUUCUGAUUAGCUAGUUGGCGGGGUAACGGCCCACCAAGGCGACGAUCAGUAGGGGUUCUGAGAGGAAGGUCCCCCACAUUGGAACUGAGACACGGUCCAAACUCCUACGGGAGGCAGCAGUGAGGAAUAUUGGUCAAUGGGCGCAAGCCUGAACCAGCCAAGUCGCGUGAAGGAUGAAGGUUCUAUGGAUUGUAAACUUCUUUUGCAUGAGGGUAAAGGACGGUACGUGUACCGUUUUGCAAGUAUCAUGCGAAUAAGCAUCGGCUAACUCCGUGCCAGCAGCCGCGGUAAUACGGAGGAUGCGAGCGUUAUCCGGAUUUAUUGGGUUUAAAGGGUGCGUAGGCGGGUUGUUAAGUCAGUGGUGAAAGUUUGCGGCUCAACCGUAAAAUUGCCAUUGAAACUGGCGACCUUGAGUGUAAAUGAGGUAGGCGGAAUGUGAUGUGUAGCGGUGAAAUGCUUAGAUAUGUCACAGAACCCCGAUUGCGAAGGCAGCUUACCAAGAUACAACUGACGCUGAGGCACGAAAGCGUGGGUAUCAAACAGGAUUAGAUACCCUGGUAGUCCACGCAGUAAACGAUGAAUACUAGCUGUUGGCGAUAUAAUGUCAGCGAUACAGCGAAAGUGUUAAGUAUUCCACCUGGGGAGUACGCCGGCAACGGUGAAACUCAAAGGAAUUGACGGGGGCCCGCACAAGCGGAGGAACAUGUGGUUUAAUUCGAUGAUACGCGAGGAACCUUACCCGGGCUUGAAAGUUAGUGACGGCAGUGGAAACAUUGCUUCCCUUCGGGGCCUCUGUGAAGGUGCUGCAUGGUUGUCGUCAGCUCGUGCUGUGAGGUGUCGGCUUAAGUGCCGUAACGAGCGCAACCCCUGUUGCCAGUUGCCAUCCUUUAGUUGGGCACUCUGGCGAGACUGCCACCGUAAGGUGUGAGGAAGGUGGGGAUGACGUCAAAUCAGCACGGCCCUUACGUCCGGGGCUACACACGUGUUACAAUGGGUGAUACAGAGAGUCGUGCAUGCGCAAGUAUGUUCCAAUCUUUAAAGUCAUCCUCAGUUCGGACUGGGGUCUGCAACCCGACCCCACGAAGCUGGAUUCGCUAGUAAUCGCGCAUCAGCCAUGGCGCGGUGAAUACGUUACCGGGCCUUGCACACACCGCCCGUCA
rnacentral:rRNA from 1 species